CCUACGGGCGGCAGCAGUGGGGAAUAUUGCACAAUGGGGGAAACCCUGAUGCAGCGACGCCGCGUGAGCGAUGAAGUAUUUCGGUAUGUAAAGCUCUAUCAGCAGGGAAGAAAAUGACGGUACCUGACUAAGAAGCCCCGACUAACUACGUGCCAGCAGCCGCGGUAAUACGUAGGGGGCGAGCGUUAUCCGGAUUUACUGGGUGUAAAGGGAGCGUAGACGGCGAUGCAAGCCAGAUGUGAAAGCCUGGGGCUCAACCCCGGGACUGCAUUUGAAACUGUAUAGCUGGAGUGUCGGAGAGGCAGGCGGAAUUCGUGGUGUAGCGGUGAAAUGCGUAGAUAUUAGGAGGAACACCAGUGGCGAAGGCGGCCUGCUGGACGAUGACUGACGUUGAGGCUCGAAAGCGUGGGGAGCAAACAGGAUUAGAUACCCGGGUAGUC
rnacentral:rRNA from 1 species